rnacentral:tRNA from 1 species
GGGGCGAUGGUGUAGUGGUAGCAUCCUAGAUUGUGAAUCUAGCGGGAACGGUUCAAAACCGUUGCGUCCCUCCA